AGGCACCCUUCUGGGGCAAGACUUGCUUCAGUGGGGCUUUGGUGCUCACUGAUCCUGCCCCCUGAGUGUGUCCCU
rnacentral:pre_miRNA from 1 species